ACCCUGCCCUCCGAGGCCAAGGAGCGGGGAGCGCGGUACGGGGGCCCUUGUCCUUGCCCGGGGGCGGCCCCGCGCGGGCCGCGGCACUGGAGCAGCGCCGCCGGUGUCCGGUUUUUUAGCCUCUCGUUACUCCGUGGAAAAGUUCAGUUGCUUGUGUUUAAGGUGCUCGCAGUGGAGUGAAGAAUAAUCUCAAAGUUGUUUUUUUUUUAAAAAAAACACCCCUGCCUAUGUUUUCUCAUCUCUCUUGAUAGCUUACCACGCCGACGCUCAUUUCAUUUCGCCCUCAAAUGGGCCGUUUAAAAAGGUGCCCAGAAGUAUACGUGGAAGUUGUAGUUGGAAAGGCUGAUCGCAAUUAGGUGGCCAGCUUGAAGUGGGAGGGCGUUGCUGAUUUAGUGCAUUGGUCUGAAGUCAAAAUGAGGAAAUGAAAAAAACGGUGUAAGUGACUGGGCCAGAGAGCCUGGGACUCCUUAACAGGAAACUGAAUUGGAGAGAGAAAAAAUGUAUCUAAGUGGAAGGAAAACUGUCUAAGUGGAAGCAUCAAGAGGUUUACUAAGCCAGAAGGGUAUCCUACAACAAAUUGGAAAUCUAGUCUUACAGCAACCAAUCAGAAGGACCAUAAACUAAGGCCUUGUUUACACUAGAAAAUCAAUCAUUUGUUCUUCAGUUUGAUUGUUCUGCACAAAGAGAGCAUCCAUGCUCAGAAACCUCGACUGGUGUGGUUGUUUUUACACCACACCAAAGUAACGUCAAAACAAGGUUAAAUGUUGCAGUGUACAUUUUUCUGGAUAGAGGAGCAAAAGCGAGUGAUCUUUUACCUGAAACUGUCCAGUGGUCUGGGUGAAUAAAACUCUGGUCUCCUGAGGCUUGAUGUACUCAUGUACAUGUGCGAUCAUCUUUGAACAUGGAAAACACAGAGUAGCUGAGAAGACUGUGAUAUGUAUGUGUGCCUUAUUAAUCACCCCUCCAGGCUUGCCCUUCAAAUUUAGGGGAGAGAAGUUCUUGUAAAGCAAGGGCUUGAGAGGAAGCAGGCUUUGAUCUGCCUGGUCUUUACAGCUGACAAACAAAGACUUCUUGAAAUAGGAAAUUAUCCUUGAUUUAAAUCUGUGUAGGGAAGCCCUUAAUAUGGAUUGGAGAUUUGAAGAAUGAACAUUAUGCAGAAAAGAUUAUGAAAUUCUUAGGGUCUGACAGAGCUGGAGUUCUACCACUGGACUGCAGGUGAGGAUUAUUAGAAAAGAAGGGAAAGAAAUUACUACAUUGUACUCUGGAAAAUGUAGAGGUCAUUUAUCAAGCAUAUGUACACCAUAUAUUCAACUCUGGUAAUGACCCAAAAUCUCCUUACUGAGAAACAAGCAAAGUUUCCUUUCCUUCGAGCUCAAAUAAGUCUUCUAAAAUGGUGGCUAUAGUCCAAAUUAAGGACACCAUAUCUUCAGGUGUUUUGGUUUUGUGUUCUUUAAAAUGGGCAAAUCUGGUCCCUCUCUACUUGGCAUAAAGAAAAGUGCAAGUUAUUUCUGUAUCAUGUGUUUUAAAAUAUGAGGUUGUGAGGAGAUUUCACUGGUGAAAUAAAAUUACUGUUACGGCUUUUCAGA